rnacentral:misc_RNA from 1 species
AUAGGUAGUCUGGAUAGGAAGAAGCACAAACAGUUUAAUACAUGUAGAGGAGGCAUAAAAUAGCAUCACCACAAAACAGAAAAGGACUUCAUUAUAAGGAUAGUGAAAUCAUAAAAAUUCCCAUGCUAUACAUAUUUUAAAGAACUAAUCGUUUCAACAUAACUCCUGGAAGUAGUUUCACCUUGUAUUCCUUUCACAGAUUAAGAAAAAAAUUUACUCCAUUUUGAAUGUAAACAUACCUCCAAUCCACCACACAUGCUUGCAAUGUUUCAAAUAUUUCAGUACUUUAUCCAACUUAAAAUAAGAACA